AAAGGGUGCGUAGGCGGGUUGGUAAGUCCGUGGUGAAAUCUCCAAGCUUAACUUGGAAACUGCCGUGGAUACUAUCAAUCUUGAAUAUCGUGGAGGUGAGCGGAAUAUGUCAUGUAGCGGUGAAAUGCUUAGAUAUGACAUAGAACACCCAUUGCGAAGGCAGCUCGCUACACGGUUAUUGACGCUGAGGCACGAAAGCGUGGGGAUCAAACAGGAUUAGAUACCCUUGU
rnacentral:rRNA from 1 species